rnacentral:rRNA from 1 species
GACGAACGCUGGCGGCGUGCCCAAUACAUGCAAGUUGAGCGCUGAAGGUUGGUACUUGUACCAACUGGAUGAGCAGCGAACGGGUGAGUAACGCGUGGGGAAUCUGCCUUUGAGCGGGGGACAACAUUUGGAAACGAAUGCUAAUACCGCAUAAAAACUUUAAACACAAGUUUUAAGUUUGAAAGAUUCAAUUGCAUCACUCAAAGAUGAUCCCGCGUUGUAUUAGCUAGUUGGUGAGGUAAAGGCUCACCAAGGCGAUGAUACAUAGCCGACCUGAGAGGGUGAUCGGCCACAUUGGGACUGAGACACGGCCCAAACUCCUACGGGAGGCAGCAGUAGGGAAUCUUCGGCAAUGGACGAAAGUCUGACCGAGCAACGCCGCGUGAGUGAAGAAGGUUUUCGGAUCGUAAAACUCUGUUGGUAGAGAAGAACGUUGGUGAGAGUGGAAAGCUCAUCAAGUGACGGUAACUACCCAGAAAGGGACGGCUAACUACGUG